AAGAAAGAGGCCUCAGAGAAGAGAGAGCCUAACCUCCCCGCCGAAGCUCGCUGUAGCGGUCGUUGCCGCCCUCGCCACCGCAGUUCAGAUCAAGCAACUGUGCUCUUUGACUCAGAUCCUUCUAUCACUUUUUGUGUUGUUUAGAGAAGAGAAAGGCUCAUACCUAUUUCUUUCUAUCUUUCUCUCUCAUUUUCGAUUUAGGGCUCACGAACUCGUUCUUUGACUCAGAUCCUUUUUGCAGCUCCGAUCUGCUCCUUCAGGGCAAUUCCGUGGAUCUGUAGUAGUGGAUGAACUCCAGAGACAUAAUGCCAUACUUAGGGACUGCAUUGAGCAACUAACAGCUAUAGAAUCAUCUAGAGCUAGCCUUGUAUCUCAUCUGAGAGAGGCUUUACAGGAACAGGAAUUCAAGCUGGGUCAACUCUGAAGCCAGAUUCAAGUUUGAAACUUAUCCAGUCAUCGAGUAGUUAUAUAGUAUCUAUUGUCUAUAUUUUGAUAUAAUGGCUCGCCUAAAUUUUGUACAAUCAUUAAUAUGAAAAUUAGUAAGUCUACUAAGUAUGUAUUGAUUUAUGGGCUGCCAGUUUUGUGUUUGAUAAAAUGCCAAAAUGAACUUUCAGGUUUUAUUUAUGUCUCUCUUUAGUGCAUGUGGCGAAUAGUGAUAAUGUACCAAUUGGUCUAUUGAUAGCUGCUAGAUUCUUGAGCUUGGUGAAUAGUCAAUUGUUUUAUUUUGCUCUGGCUAUUCUAGUUUGGGGUCUUUGAUCCCUUUCCCUCACCAAAAAAUAUGUUUCUGGUUUGAGGUUUAUCAAUAUCCA